CUGUCACAACGGCUUCCUGGCGUGACAGGCAACUUCCAAUGGAGCA
rnacentral:ncRNA from 1 species